rnacentral:lncRNA from 1 species
AUGUCUAAAGAGCAUGUAUCUCUGGUACUAGAAAGCGAGGCGUUUUUUUAGUGUCUUUAGAGAAACAUUUUUUUGAAUUAUCUAAAAAAUCAAGGUAAUAGAAAAUUCUCAAAGAAAAUAAAAAUAAGUUAUUGUGGGCACACUACCAGGACAAGCACUUUAGCUGACGAAAAAGUUUCGUCGGCCAGUUAGCUUAAUUCGUCGGCUAAGAUUUCGUCGGGAAAAUGUUGUAUGUGGUGACUUUAGCCAACAGAAAAAAAAAUUUCGUCGACUAUAGUCCCACAGUUUAGCCGACGAAAAACAUGUCGUCGGUUUUUUUCCCAGACUUUAGCCGACGAAACAAUUAAGAUAUUCGUCGGUUAAAGUCUGUAAUAAAAAAUUUUUCCCAGACUAUAGCCGACGAAAUAUAGUCUGUUUCGUCGGCUAAACCUUAUAAAAAAAAAAAUAAUAACUAUAGCCGACGAAAUAUAGUCUGUUUCGUCGGCUAAACCUUAAAAAAAAUUUAAAAAAAUAACUACAGCCGACGAAAUAUGCCGUAAUUCGUCGGCUAAACCUUAUAAAAAAAAUUUAAAAAUACUAUAUCGUCGGCUAAACCUUUAAAUAUCGUCAGCUAAAGUUGCUGGUUUUUGAAAGAAAAAAACUAGGGCUGGGCAUAUGUCGGUGCGGGUCGGGUUUGGCCCAAAACCGAUUUCAACCCGUUUUAACCGGUUUGGAGAAAUAAGCAACCGAUAACCGUUUUUAAAUGGUUUGGGCCGAAAAAACCGGUUUAACCGAAAUCCGGGUCGGGUCGGGUCGGUUUCAGUUAAAACCGGGUCAAAUUUUAUUUUUUAAAUUUUCAGGCCCAACUUAGAAGAAUUGAAGCCCAAACCUGUUUUCAUUUACAUUUUCAACAAAUUUAUCUAACAGUUCAAUACUUCAUACUUUUACAAACCUGCAUAACUUCCAAAAAUUUGAAUAGAAGCUGAUAAACACAGACUAAUUCAUCCAUCAUACUUAGAAACUUAAAAACAUCACAAAUACCAUAAGUUCAAUAGAUUAAAUACCAUAACCAUCAUAAAUACAAAAUUUGGUUCAAAUACCAAAUGACAACCCAUGUUC